GGGGCAUUAGUCGCAAUGGGGCGACGUCUGUUUUGCAAGCAGGAGGCGGCGGGUUCGAUUCCCGUAUGCUCCA
rnacentral:tRNA from 1 species